rnacentral:rRNA from 1 species
CUUUAUCGGAGAGUUUGAUCCUGGCUCAGGACGAACGCUGGCGGCGUGCCUAAUACAUGCAAGUCGAGCGGACAGAUGGGAGCUUGCUUCCU